rnacentral:rRNA from 1 species
GAUGAACGCUGGCGGCGUGCUUAACACAUGCAAGUCGAACGAAGCUGCUAAAAGGAAGUCUUCGGACAGAAUUUUAGUAGACUUAGUGGCGGACAGGUGAGUAACGCGUGGAUAACCUGCCUUAUACAGGGGGAUAACGGAGAGAAAUUUCCGCUAAGACCGCAUAAGACCACAGCACCGCAUGGUGCAGGGGUAAAAUAUUUAUAGGUAUAAGAUGGAUCCGCGUCCGAUUAGCUAGUUGGUGAGGUAGAGGCUCACCAAGGCGACGAUCGGUAGCCGGCCUGAGAGGGUGAACGGCCACAUUGGGACUGAGACACGGCCCAAACUCCUACGGGAGGCAGCAGUGGGGAAUAUUGGACAAUGGGGGAAACCCUGAUCCAGCGACGCCGCGUGAGUGAAGAAGUAUUUCGGUAUGUAAAGCUCUAUCAGCAGGGAAGAAAAUGACGGUACCUGACUAAGAAGCCCCGGCUAACUACGUGCCAGCAGCCGCGGUAAUACGUAGGGGGCAAGCGUUAUCCGGAUUUACUGGGUGUAAAGGGAGCGCAGACGGCGAAGCAAGUCUGAAGUGAAAUGCAUGGGCUCAACCCAUGAAUUGCUUUGGAAACUGUUUGGCUUGAGUGUCGGAGGGGUAAGCGGAAUUCCUAGUGUAGCGGUGAAAUGCGUAGAUAUUAGGAGGAACACCGGAGGCGAAGGCGGCUUACUGGACGACAACUGACGUUGAGGCUCGAAGGCGUGGGGAGCAAACAGG